rnacentral:misc_RNA from 1 species
GAUGAAGAACGUAGCGAAAUGCGAUAAGUAAUGUGAAUUGCAGAAUUCAGUUAAUCAUCGAAUCUUUGAACGCACCUUGCGCUCCUUGGUAUUCCGAGGAGCAUGCCUGUUUGAGUGUCAUUAAUAUAUCAACCUCUUCAGCUUAUGCUUGUUGAGUGUUGGAUGGUGGGGGUUUGCUGGUGUCUUAUGAAGUCAGCUCCUCUGAAAUGCAUUAGCGGAACAAUUUGUUGACCGUUCAUUGGUGUGAUAAAAAUAUCUACGCUAUUGACGUCAGUCAGUUCAGCUUCUAACAGUCCAUUGACUUGGACAAAUUUUUCAUUAAUGUGACCUCAAAUCAGGUAGGACUACCCGCUGAACUUAAGCAUAUCAAUAAGCGGAGGA